rnacentral:rRNA from 1 species
GAAGAAGUGAAUUAAGGGCAUUUGGUGGAUGCCUUGGCAUGCACAGGCGAAGAAGGACGUGAUACGCUGCGAAAAGCCGUGGGGAGCUGCGAAUAAGCUUUGAUCCAUGGAUCUCCGAAUGGGGCAACCCACCUUAAAUGCUUGGAAAAUCCAGUCUGUUUUAUGAACGGCCUGGGUUUCCAAGCAUUGUGAUAAGGUAUCUUACUUUCGAAUACAUAGGGGUAAGAAGCGAACGCAGGGAACUGAAACAUCUAAGUACCUGCAGGAAAGGACAUCAACCGAGACUCCGUAAGUAGUGGCGAGCGAACGCGGACCAGGCCAGUGGCAAUGAUGAAUAAAGCGGAACGAUUUGGAAAAGUCGGCCAUAGAGGGUGAUAGCCCCUUACGCGUAGAACAGUCAUUGUCCUUGAGUAGGGCGGGGCACGUGAAAUCCUGUCUGAACAUGGGGAGACCACUCUCCAAGCCUAAGUACUCGUGCAUGACCGAUAGCGAACAAGUACCGUGAGGGAAAGGUGAAAAGCACCCCGACGAGGGGAGUGAAAUAGAACCUGAAACCGGAUGCCUACAAACAGUCGGAGCCCGCAAGGGUGACGGCGUACCUUUUGUAUAAUGGGUCAACGACUUAGUGU